UAAACAAGUUAACAGAAACAGCCACAAAUAGAAAAAAAAAAAAAAGCAGCAGUAGACUUAAUGCAAGCAGUGUUGAUGCCAUGGAUUGAUGCCACAUUUGAAAAACCUCAAAGCUCUCACCAGGUGCAAUGGAAUCAAAUCCAAAUGAAUCGUCUUCAGGCUAUCAAAACUGGACUGCACUCUUCCAACUUCAGCUUUUACUCCUUGGAAAGCAGUUUCAUUCUAAAAGAACUUGAACCAUUAUAUGAGCAAUCUGCACCACAAGCAGUUCCAACCUAAUGGAAUGAACAUCAAAGAUGUUAAUACCACCAUUAAGAUCAGUAGUAUCUGAACAUAGCACCUCUUUAGGCUGGUGCUCUCCUUCUGUAAGUGCAGCUUGAGAAGGGCAAUGAGAAGGUACAGUUCAAUUCAAUUCUAUUCAAGAAUCGGUCCACCUCCUGUAAGUGCAAUUAGUUUAAGGGCAUAGCACCUCUUUAGUAUCUGAACAUAGCGCCUCUUUAGGCUGGUUCUCUCCUUCUGUAAGUGCAGCUUGAGAAGGGCAAUGAGAAGGUACAGUUCAAUUCAAUUAUUUUCAAGAAACUCUAGGCUAACUACUUUAACUAUCACCUUUACCAGAUCAGGACUAGUAUCUGAACAUAGCACCUCUUUAGGCUGGUGCCCUUAAGCAGCACCUAUCCAAUCCCAUAAUAUCUGAUGAAUGUGAUUAUUCAUAGUGGUUGAUGACAAGCUCUGGGAAGUUUACAGUUAGUAGUGCAUGGGAAUUGCUGAGAACAAGACAAACUGCAGCACAACAGUUUAGGAACAUAUGGGUGAAGGGGCUUCCUUUUAGGAUUUCAUUCUUCUAAUGGAGGCUAUGGAAAGCAAAACUGCCUGUUGAUGAAGUUUUAGCUAAAUGUGGCAUUGCUGUUGUUUCUAGAUGUCUAUGGUGCCCUUCACCUCAGCUGGAAUCCAUGGAUCAUUUAUUUCUUACGGGUAUAUUUGCCACCAGGGUGUGGAAAUACUACACAGAUGCAGCUGGAAUUCAAGGCCCAAACUAGUAUUUUUGUGCUUGGAUUAACAAUUUACUCAUAUAAAGGAAUUUCAGCGUCUAUUUCUAGCUAUUUUUUUUUUUUUUGGAGAAUCAAAAGGUCUCUCAUUAGAAUCUCAAGUCUUUCCUAACCAACCAAGGGGAAGGGGGUAGGGGGUGGGGUUGGUAUUCAGUUGCCUUGCCGAGGGCCCUAGUUGAAAUGAAAGUCUUCAGGUGUUCCUUUGAUAAAGAUUUGGAAUUUUGGAGUGAAAAAUCCUAGCUUUAAUCUACAAGCCUGUAUGACACAACAUGUCAAACAAGAAAGUCCAAAUGACUGGAUCACACACUUUGUUUCUCUUGUCUAAUUGUGGAAUCAAGACAAUCAUUAGCUAUUAGAGAAGCAUCAAAUAUUUAUCAGUUUGCAAUGUAAGAUUUUGUUACAUACAAAAAAUUACCUUAUGAACUUCAUUUUAAUUGAAUUCUUUUUUCUGUCCUUUCAUAGAUGAUUCUAUCAAAUUAUAUUUCAUCCUUUCUGUUCUAUUUCGCAGGUUGAUAGCAGCUAUGACAGGAGUUGUUAAUAAGUUCUUUAUGACAUCUAUGAUUAUGUGGGCAGCUCCUAUUGCAAUUUUGUACGCCUUUAACCACGACUUAAUUCCUGUUCAUAGUCACAUCAGUUUGUGGAACAUGUGACAGAUUUGUGCCUAUUAAUUACUCAACUACGUGCUGCCCUGCAGUCUUUGUUACUUGAAAUGAUAAUUUCUUCACCCAUCUGAGUUGAUGUAUUCAAAGGGAACCAAAGUCUCUUCACACUUUCAUCUGAGUUCCAGGGACAAUUAUUAUAUGUUGGCCUCACAAUACGUUCUGUCAAUUGAAUUAAUGUGAUUAUAUUGAUGCCGAGCUCUCUGCUUGAGAAUGUGCGAGGUUGGUCAUGGUGCAUAGAGAAGUUCUGGAGAUAAUUUUAAUUAUAUUCUUAUCUUUUGUCAAAUAUUCAAAUGAGAAAAGAAGAAACCUUUUUUUGUAGGACAUGAGUUGUUUUGGUUGGAGAGCACUCUAAAAUGUGCCCCUUGCUUAUGUCUUAAAUAACACACCUGAUACUUUUUCUCAGAGUUUUUAAAUUUACAAGAACAUGGAUAGAACCUGGAAGGGUGGCUCAGUUGGUUGAGCAUGGGGCUUUCAUAAUCGAGGUCUCAGGUUCGAAACCCCCUUCAUAUGAAAGUAGGGGAUUUGCCUUCUGGGUCGAGCUUGUCGUACAUGGCUUGCCUAGUGCGGGUUAUCUCUCCUGUGUGGUUUGCGGGCUAUCCCACAGGAGCGGGGUUUAUCUUGUC